GGCCGUCGUGGUCAUGGUGCUGUGAUUCCCUUUGGCCCUAGAAUAAUGCACAGUGUUCCGAGGCCACGUACCCUGAACUCGAAAAGUUCUGAGGACAUAGUUGACUGCCUAACACAGGACACCCAAUCUUCUACAGCUACCGCUCGGAACCUUGACGCACCAUCCUCCUCCAGCUUAGCUUCGGGCACCUCUCAAGUUACCACUCGCCCACCAACAGUAG